rnacentral:rRNA from 1 species
AGUGAACGCUGGCGGCGUGCCUAAUACAUGCAAGUCGAACGGAUUGGCGCACGGGUGUGUAAUGUAUUGCUAAUCUGCCCUACACUAGAGGACAACAGUUGGAAACGGCUGCUAAUACUCUAUAGUGAAGGAUGAGGCUAUAUUGUAUCAGCUAGUUGGUGAGGUAAUGGCCCACCAAGGCGAUGACGUAUAACUGGUUUGAGAGGAUUAUCAGUCAGUCUGGAACUGUGUCACGGUUGAGAAUUCAGCGGGAUUUGGCAGUAGUGAGGAGUACAAAAUAGGGGAAACGCUGAGGCGUAUAGGCGGCGUGGGGGAUGACACUCUGCGGAGCGUAAACUCCUUGUUUUAGGGAUGCGGUACCUAACGAAUAUGCUCCGGCUAACUCCGUGCCAGUAGCCGCGGUAAUAC